rnacentral:tRNA from 1 species
AGCCCCGUCGUCUAGCGGUCAAGGAUAUGAAAACCUUAAAGCGGGCUUUGGACCCGCUGACGCCAGUUCGAAUCUGGCCGGGGCUA